UACGGAGGGGGCUAGCGUUGUUCGGAAUUACUGGGCGUAAAGCGCGCGUAGGCGGACCUGCAAGUCGGGGGUGAAAGCCCGAGGCUCAACCUCGGAACUGCCUUCGAUACUGCGGGUCUCGAGUCCGGGAGAGGUGAGUGGAAUUCCUAGUGUAGAGGUGAAAUUCGUAGAUAUUAGGAAGAACACCAGUGGCGAAAGGCGG
rnacentral:rRNA from 1 species